rnacentral:rRNA from 1 species
GCUAACCCAGGUGCAGACGGCGUGUAAAUACGUGGGGGGCUAGCGGUAAUGGGAAGUACUGGUCGUAAAGCGUGCGCAGGCGGUGUUGUAAGGCAGUGGUGAAAUCCCCGGGCUCAACCUUGGAACUGCCAUUGUGACUGCAAGGCUGGAGUGCGGCAGAGGGGGAUGGAAUUCCGCGUGUAGCAGUGAAAUGCGUAGAUAUGCGGAGGAACACCGAUGGCGAAGGCAAUCCCCUGGGCCUGCACUGUCGCUCAUGCACGAAAGCGUGGGGAGCAAACAGGAUUAGAUACCCCAGUAGUC